rnacentral:tRNA from 2 species
GGGCAGUUAGCUCAGCUGGUCAGAGCACCCGGUUCACAUCCGGGAGGUCACUGGUUCGAGUCCAGUACUGCCCACCA